GCCAGCAGCCGCGGUAAUACGUAGGUCCCGAGCGUUGUCCGGAUUUAUUGGGCGUAAAGCGAGCGCAGGCGGUUUUUUAAGUCUGAAGUUAAAGGCAUUGGCUCAACCAAUGUACGCUUUGGAAACUGGAGAACUUGAGUGCAGAAGGGGAGAGUGGAAUUCCAUGUGUAGCGGUGAAAUGCGUAGAUAUAUGGAGGAACACCGGUGGCGAAAGCGGCUCUCUGGUCUGUAACUGACGCUGAGGCUCGAAAG
rnacentral:rRNA from 1 species